GGUUUCCGUAGGUGACCUGCGGAA
rnacentral:rRNA from 1 species